UAAUUGCAGCAGCAUGUACACUCACACCGAUACGUCCUUUUCGUCUGUCUCUCUCUCUCUCUCUCUCUCUCCGCAAGGCCUCCCUCUCGAAACCCUGGCAACAGCAGCAACAGCUUGUGGCCAAAGCUCCACUGUGUUGGUCAACUUGUUUGAUCAUUCUGGAAGGUACGACCUGAUCCGCUACUACAAGAGACCCAGCUACUGUGCCACCUCCUACCUGCCCUCCUCCCAAGGUCAAAGGGCAGCCAGUGACCCUGCCGACCCCCGCAACAAAGCCCUCCGCCUGCAGCGCAUCUCUCUGCGCCGGGGCAGGUGACCACACAGGAAGCGACAUCACCAAAUUGACCUCUGAGGUCAUUCUGAAUAGUGUCUCAAUUUUCAGAUUCAUUCUAGACUUCUUCCUAUUUUAGUCAAAACACUUGAUAUAGGCUCCAGUGAUCUAAUGAAGUCCGAUUGUAGCUGAUAUUACUAGCAAUUGGCCCUGGCCUUGGUCUUAUUUGUGGAAAUCCCUACACUUCUAACUGUAGAAUUGCAAUAAUAUUUGUACGGGACCAGGGUCAAAUUCACAAGUUCAUAAAAUAGACAUAAACAACUUCAGUUACAACAGUAAAUUAUCUGCCAAGUAAGAUUAAUUAUCUCCAAAAAUUGGAGUGGCAGUGACAAGAUUGACUGCAUGUGAUCAAUAUUUGCACUACUUAAAUAAAACACAUAAAUAUAAUAUGACAAUGUAAUACUAUAAAGAGAUGGGGCAUUUUCAUCACAGCUGAAGUUUCAUGGAAUUUACAUGAGGAAAUGUCUUAUGAGAUAUGAGAUCACACUGUUAAACUCGAGGCUUAUUUACUUAAAAUAGAUCAGGGUUCAGAUUACCUCAAUUGUGCAACAAGCACUGCAGAUAGGUCAGGAAAGCCAGCAGUUAAAACUGUUAAAUAGUAAAUACACAACCUUGACAUGAUACUUCUGUAAUCCAGCUCGACAACGGUCAACUAAUCUGCUACAAAUAUUAAGGACUGUAAUUCAUAUUAAGAGUUUCAAAUAAAGAAAGGAAAACCUUUUAGGUAAAACGAACACAGUGUAUUUACCUUGUGCUUGUUAAGUCAAUGUAUCAUGUUCAUAUUCAGUCAAAAUAAUAAAUAUAAUGAUUUUAGUA